rnacentral:rRNA from 1 species
CUGGUAGUCCACGCUGUAAACGAUGUCGAUUUGGAGGUGUUCCCUUGAGGAGUGGCUUCCGGAGCUAACGCGUUAAAUCGACCGCCUGGGGAGUACGGCCGCAAGGUUAAAACUCAAAUGAAUUGACGGGGGCCCGCACAAGCGGUGGAGCAUGUGGUUUAAUUCGAUGCAACGCGAAGAACCUUACCUACUCUUGACAUCCAGAGAAUUUAGCAGAGAUGCUUUAGUGCCUUCGGGAACUCUGAGACAGGUGCUGCAUGGCUGUCGUCAGCUCGUGUUGUGAAAUGUUGGGUUAAGUCCCGCAACGAGCGCAACCCUUAUCCUUUGUUGCCAGCACAUUAUGGUGGGAACUCAAAGGAGACUGCCGGUGAUAAACCGGAGGAAGGUGGGGAUGACGUCAAGUCAUCAUGGCCCUUACGAGUAGGGCUACACACGUGCUACAAUGGCGUAUACAAAGAGAAGCGACCUCGCGAGAGCAAGCGGAACUCAUAAAGUACGUCGUAGUCCGGAUUGGAGUCUGCAACUCGACUCCAUGAAGUCGGAAUCGCUAGUAAUCGUAGAUCAGAAUGCUACGGUGAAUACGUUCCCGGGCCUUGUACACACCGCCCGUCACACCAUGGGAGUGGGUUGCAAAAGAAGUAGGUAGCUUAACCUUCGGGAGGGCGCUUACCACUUUGUGAUUCAUGACUGGGGUGAAGUCGUAACAAGGUAACCA